CCUACAACAUCUCGGACUUGUCAGAUUCGGCCGGAAGUGUCGCGCCGCUCCGCGCAGCGCGCGUUCGAACGUCUCGCAGUGAAUUUCACGAAACGCUCGGCUCGACUCCGGAUCGACGGAUAAAAGCGGAUGCGAUUUGUAUGCAGUUUAAAUGGAGUCGAAAUGGCUUUGUCGUACAAGUUGCCCUAAUUGGCGGCGUGACUCACUGCCGUCUACCUUGAAUUCGCGCCAAGGUAAAAUCGUUUUUUAUUAUCCUUUUGUAGGAAGACAAACAUUGGGAACAGUAUAUAGAAACAUUGAAGUAGAAUACACUCGUUUACAUAGCAAUUUCUAUAAUUUUAUUUACAUAUAAAUCCCAACACACAUUCCUUCUUUGAAAGUGCCAUGAAAUCUAAUUAAUGGUAUUCAUGUACAAAGUUCAAAAUACUUCACUACAGUAAAAUGCAGCAUUCUAAAAAAUAGUGGAACAACAUUCGAUUUUGUCUUUUUCAAAAAACGUUGCAGCUUGUAUGUAAAAAGGCAUCAUUGACAGCUUUACACCUACACCCCUCGUGAAAUAGUAUUAGUAUUAUAAAACGAUAACUCUACAAUAAAAUAUUGUUUGAAAGCAACGUACGGCGUUGCAGAAAUUCUUUCUGACGUUUUCGAUUAAUACAAAGUGUUACAUAUCGUAAUUAUGUAUUUAACAUUUUUGUUACGUAUUCGAUAGUAGGGUACGUAUAAAUGGUACAAAAU